AGGUUUCAGAAGAAAAAGCACAACAGUGUUAAGUGCUGCUGAAGGUAAUGCUAGCAAUUAAUACCUGGCUGUCAUUCUGGAGUUCCUUUUCUCUCUUCCAUCCAAGGUCAAGAUUUUCCUAACAUAUAACACAAGGCUGUGCCUAAAGUGAAUGACUGAUUCUUCAAUGAGGGAAGAAGACACAGAAGCUAAAAACAAGAUGCAUUUGUCAUUGAAGAAAAACAUCUUACAAAGGAAGUUUAAAAGAGAACCCAGAUGAAUAUUUCUUCAGAUGAACCACAAAUAAGUUCUGAUUUCAACAUGUUCUACAACUCCCCAGAGCUGAGAAGCUAAAGACGGUUCUACAGUAUCAUAUUCCAAAGGCAUCACAGGGUUUAGCUGCUAAUGCAAUAAAGUGGUUUUUGUCUUGGAAGCACGCAACAUCAUGAAUAACAUUGUCAUCUAGAAACAAUGAGCCAAUAGGCACCAUUUUGUGUUGUAACCGAGCAGGCUUGCUUGAUUGUGGAUGCAGAUAUGCCCACCCUACGUAAGUUGACAUUUUGUACAGACUAGAAGAAAUGUGUGGUAUGAGAUCAAUAAAGAAGUAACUAAAA
ensembl:lncRNA LINC00492 long intergenic non-protein coding RNA 492